UUCCCCUAGUAACUGCGAGUGAAGCGGGAAAAGCUCAAAUUUAAAAUCUGGCAGUCUUUGGCUGUCCGAGUUGUAAUCUAGAGAAGUGUUAUCCGCGCUGGACCGUGUACAAGUCUCCUGGAAUGGAGCGUCAUAGAGGGUGAGAAUCCCGUCUUUGACACGGACUACCAGGGCUUUGUGAUGCGCUCUCAAAGAGUCGAGUUGUUUGGGAAUGCAGCUCAAAAUGGGUGGUAAAUUCCAUCUAAAGCUAAAUAUUGGCGAGAGACCGAUAGCGAACAAGUACCGUGAGGGAAAGAUGAAAAGAACUUUGGAAAGAGAGUUAAACAGUACGUGAAAUUGCUGAAAGGGAAACGCUUGAAGUCAGUCGCGUUGUCCAGGGAUCAGCCUUGCUUUUGCUUGGUGCACUUUCUGGUUGACGGGUCAGCAUCAAUUUUGACUAUUGGAAAAAGAUUAAGGGAAUGUGGCAUCUUUGGAUGUGUUAUAGCCCUUGGUUGCAUACAAUGGUUGGGAUUGAGGAACUCAGCACGCCGCAAGGCCGGGUUUUAAACCACGUACGUGCUUAGGAUGCUGGCAUAAUGGCUUUAAUCGACCCGUCUUGAAACACGGACCAAGGAGUCUAACAUGCCUGCGAGUGUUUGGGUGGAAAACCCGAGCGCGUAAUGAAAGUGAAAGUUGAGAUCCCUGUCGUGGGGAGCAUCGACGCCCAGACCAGACCUUUUGUGACGGUUCUGCGGUAGAGCAUGUAUGUUGGGACCCGAAAGAUGGUGAACUAUGCCUGAAUAGGGUGAAGCCAGAGGAAACUCUGGUGGAGGCUCGUAGCGAUUCUGACGUGCAAAUCGAUCGUCAAAUUUGGGUAUAGGGGCGAAAGACUAAUCGAA
rnacentral:rRNA from 1 species